rnacentral:rRNA from 1 species
AUCUAUUGUGAACCGCGAAUGGCUCAUUACAACAGCCAUAGUUUACUGGAUAUAUUCCAUUACAUGGAUAACUGUGGUAAUUCUACAGCUAAUACACGCAUCAAAGCCCUGACUUCGGAAAGGGUGCGUUAGUUACUUCAAACUGAUCGGUCUUCGGACUGCCAUCAAGUGAGAUUGAACUAUUUAGCUGAUCGCACGGUCUAAGCACCGGCGACAUAUCCUUCAAAUGUCUGCCUUAUCAACUUUCGAUGGUAGAUUAUGCGCCUACCAUGGUUGUAACGGGUAACGGAGAAUCAGGGUUUGAUUCCGGAGAGGGAGCCUGAGAAAUGGCUACCACAUCCAAGGAAGGCAGCAGGCACGCAAAUUACCCACUCCCGGCACGGGGAGGUAGUGACGAAAAAUAACAAGCUGGUCUCUUUGAGUUCCGGCAUUGUAAUGGGAACAACUUAAAUCAUUUAUCGAGGAUCUAUUGGAGGGCAAGUCUGGUGCCAGCAGCCGCGGUAAUUCCAGCUCCAAUAGCGUAUAUUAAAGUUGUUGCGGUUAAAAAGCUCGUAGUUGGAUCUACGAUCAAGGCUCGUGGUCGUUCUUCUCGAAUGUACUGCGAUGUCUGGUCGAUUUAUCUGGUGAACGAUUGAUGCUCUUCAUUGAGUGUCUCUAGUUGCUGGAACGUUUACCUUGAAAAAAUUGAAGUGCUCAAAGCAGGCUCUUGCCUGAACAUUGCUGCAUGGGAUAAUAGAAUAGGACUUCGGUUCUAUUUUGUUGGUUUCGGAACGCGGAGUAAUGAUUAAUAGGGACAGACGGGGGCAUUCGUAUUGCUGCGUUAGAGGUGAAAUUCUUGGAUCGUAGCAAGACGACCUACUGCGAAAGCAUUGCCAAGAAUGUU